UGGGGGACCAGGUGUUUUUCUUUUCCCCAGU
rnacentral:piRNA from 1 species